AUGACAACAAGGGCCGUGUGCAUGUUGGAGGCCUAAGGCCUCGUGCUGGCACCAUCCACUUUAAACAGAAGGAAAAUGGGCGAGCUGUGGUAUCGGGACGCAUUAUAGGAUUGACUAAAGUUCAGCAUAGAUUCCACGUCCAUCAGUUUGGAGCUAAUAAACAAGGCUGAUCUGCACUUUAAUCCUCUAACCAAAAAACACGGUGGCCCAAAGGAUCAAGAGAGGCAUGUCGGAGACCUGGGCAAUGUGAUGGCUGGCAAAGAUGGUGUGGCCAAUGUGUCUACUGAAGAUUCACUUUCAGAAGAUCAUUCCAUCAGUGGCUGUACAAGGGUGAUCCAGAAGAAACAGAUGUCUUGGGCAAAGGUUGCAAUGAAGAAAGCACAAAGACGAGAAACACUGGAAGUCAUUUAGCUUGCGGUGCCAUUGAGAUUGCCCAAUAA
rnacentral:lncRNA from 1 species